rnacentral:rRNA from 1 species
AUUGAACGCUGGCGGCAGGCCUAACACAUGCAAGUCGAGCGAGCGGCGGACGGGUGAGUAAUGUUGGGGAAACUGCCUGUUGGGGGGGGAUAACUAUGGGAAACGGAGGUUAAUACCCAAUACCAUCAGAUGUGCCAAGAGGGGAUUAGCUAGUGGGGGGGGUAACGGCUCACCUAGGCGACGAUCCCUAGCUGGUCUGAGAGGAUGACCGGCCACACUGGAACUGAGACACGGUCCAGACUCCUACGGGAGGCAGCAGUGGGGAAUAUUGCACAAUGGGCGCAAGCCUGAUGCAGCCAUGCCGCGUGUGUGAAGAAGGCCUUCGGGUUGUAAAGCACUUUCAGCGGGGAGGCGUUACCCGCAGAAGAAGCACCGGCUAACUCCGUGCCAGCAGCCGCGGUAAUAC